UUCCUGUUGGUCCAGACCCCUCAAUCUGCCCAGAGAAGCCACGACAGAAGAGUGGUGAUUGGUGCAAGCGACAUGGGAUGAGGGUUCAGCACUGAUCAAGGUAUUGAGUGAAUUGGCUCUCACUAAGUAUGGCCUUUAAAAACUAUCUGCUGCAGUCCCCUUGGCAAAAUUUCAAUGGAGGUGCUUUACCCAAGUCUACUGAUGGAAUCUGACAUUUGGAAAAAGGGGACAAAACUUGAAGAGGCUCAAAGGCAUCCUGAGAAGAGAAGAAAGAGAAAGAAGUGUAAAAGACAGUAGAUGUUGAUCCCAAGGACACGCUUCAAUAAACACUGUGCAUGCACUAUUUACAAUAGUCAAGACAUGGAAGCAACCUCAAUGUCCGUCGACAGAUGAAUGGAUAAAAAAGAUGUGGUAUAUGUAUAUACAAUGGAAUACUACUCAGCCAUAAAAAAAGAAUGAAAUAAUGCCGUUUGCAGCAACAUGGAUGGACCUAGAGAUUAUCAUACUAAGUAAGACAGAGAAAGACAAAUACGAUAUAUCAUUUAUAUGUGGAAUCUAAAAUAUGACCCAAAUGAACUUAUCCACGAAACAGAAACAGACUCACAGACAUAGAAAACAGACUUGUGGUUGUCAAGGGGGAGGAAGAGUGGAGGAGGAAUGGAUUGGGAGUUUGGGAUUAGCAGAUGCAAACUAUUAUAUAUAGAAUGGAUAAACAAGGUCCUACUGUAUAUAGUACAGGGAACUAUAUUCAAUAUCCUGUAAUAAAGCAUAAUGGAAAAGAAUAUGAAAAAGA